UACGGAGGGUGCAAGCGUUAAUCGGAAUUACUGGGCGUAAAGGGUGCGUAGGUUGUUUAUUAAGUUAUCUGUGAAAUCCCCGGGCUCAACCUGGGCAGGUCAGAUGAUACUGAUAGACUAGAGUAUAGGAGAGGAUAGUGGAAUUUCCGGUGUAGCGGUGAAAUGCGUAGAUAUCGGAAGGAACACCAGUUGCGAAGGCGGCUAUCUGGCCUAAUACUGACACUGAGGCACGAAAGCGUGGGUAGCGAACAGG
rnacentral:misc_RNA from 1 species